rnacentral:rRNA from 1 species
GGGGGAAUCUUGCACAAUGGGCGAAAGCCUGAUGCAGCGACGCCGCGUGGGGGAUGAAGCUUUUCGGAGUGUAAACCCCUUUCGACCCGGACGAAUGUCCCGCAAGGGAACUGACGGUACGGGUAUAAGAAGCCCCGGCUAACUACGUGCCAGCAGCCGCGGUAAGACGUGGGGGGCCAGCGUUGCUCGGAAUUACUGGGUGUAAAGGGUUCGUAGGCGGUGUAGCAAGUCGGGGGUGAAAUCUCUGGGCUCAACCCAGAGACUGCUUCCGAAACUGCUGUGCUUGAGUGUGGGAGAGGCGCGUGGAAUUGCAGGUGUAGCGGUGAAAUGCGUAGAUAUCUGCAGGAACACCCGUGGCGAAAGCGGCGCGCUGGACCACUACUGACGCUGAGGAACGAAAGCUAGGGGAGCAAACAGGAUUAGAUACCCUGGUAGUCCUAGCCCUAAACGAUCAGGACUUGGGGUGCCGCACGUUCGUGCGUCGUCCCGGAGCUAACGCGUUAAGUCCUGCACCUGGGGAGUACGGUCGCAAGACUG